rnacentral:rRNA from 1 species
ACCCUACGGGACGCAGCAGUGGGGAAUAUUGCACAAUGGGGGAAACCCUGAUGCAGCGACGCCGCGUGAGUGAAGAAGUAUUUCGGUAUGUAAAGCUCUAUCAGCAGGGAAGAUAAUGACGGUACCUGACUAAGAAGCUCCGGCUAAAUACGUGCCAGCAGCCGCGGUAAUACGUAUGGAGCAAGCGUUAUCCGGAUUUACUGGGUGUAAAGGGAGCGCAGACGGCAAGGCAAGUCUGAUGUGAAAGCCUUCGGCUCAACCGGAGAAUUGCAUCAGAAACUGUUGAACUUGAGUGCAGAAGAGGA